rnacentral:rRNA from 1 species
UGGGGAAUAUUGCACAAUGGGCGAAAGCCUGAUGCAGCGACGCCGCGUGAGGGAUGACGGCCUUCGGGUUGUAAACCUCUUUCAGCAGGGACGAAGCGCAAGUGACGGUACCUGCAGAAGAAGCACCGGCUAACUACGUGCCAGCAGCCGCGGUAAUACGUAGGGGGCUAGCGUUGUCCGGAAUCACUGGGCGUAAAGGGUUCGCAGGCGGAAAUGCAAGUCAGAUGUAAAAGGCAGUAGCUUAACUACUGUAAGCAUUUGAAACUGCAUAUCUUGAGAAGAGUAGAGGUAAGUGGAAUUUUUAGUGUAGCGGUGAAAUGCGUAGAUAUUAAAAAGAAUACCGGUGGCGAAGGCGACUUACUGGGCUCAUUCUGACGCUGAGGAACGAAAGCGUGGGUAGCAAACAGG